rnacentral:rRNA from 1 species
UCAGUCGACUCCUACGGGGAGGCAGCAGUGGGGAAUAUUGCACAAUGGGGGAAACCCUGAUGCAGCCAUGCCGCGUGUGUGAAGAAGGCCUUCGGGUGUAAAGCACUUUCAGUAGGGAGGAAGGUAGUGUAGUUAACACCUGCACUAUUUGACGUUACCUACAGAAGAAGCACCGGCUAACUCCGUGCCAGCAGCCGCGGUAAUACGGAGGGUGUGAGCGUUAAUCGGAAUUACUGGGCGUAAAGCGCAUGCAGGCGGCCUGUUAAGUCAGAUGUGAAAGCCCGGGGCUUAACCUCGGAAUUGCAUUUGAAACUGGCAGGCUAGAGUCUUGUAGGAGGGGGGUAGGAAUUUCAGGUGUAGCGGUGAAAUGCGUAGAGAUCUGAAGGAAUACCAGUGGCGAAGGCGGCCCCCUGGACAAAGACUGACGCUCAGAUGCGAAAGCGUGGGGAGCAAACAGGAUUAGAUACCCUGGUAG